rnacentral:lncRNA from 1 species
AGUCCUUCUAGAGAUUGUGGGGGAACAACAGUGCCUUCUCUCUUUCCUCACUCAGGUCUUGUUAGUCCUUUGGAGACUUAGAAAAGCUGAGGAAGAACCACCUAGUUCACCCUAUCCCCCAGGUAAUAGAACCUGACUUUAUUCACAUCUGGGUAAAAGAAGUCAAGCUUGGUAUGGGAGAAGAAGCGGAAUAUAGGCACGGUCUUUACUGUGUGCUCUGCAGAAUGAAGGAGCUGGACUACAUCAAGGAUUCUGAAGGUGGGGCUACAUUUUCCUAUUCACCCCUCCACCCCAGGAAUCUUCAUGCAAUAAUGAAAAGAGAUGCAAUAUUGAUGGGAAUAUG